CAUAACAUACCAUAUUUACACUCACAGAAAAGUUAGAACCCAAACUCUCUCACUUUCUAACCCUAGCCGCCUGAUUUGAGACUUUGAGGUUUUUCUUGAAGAUCUGAUCUUAUGGAAGCCUCUGAAAGAAUGGCUUUCAUCUGCUUCAUUUUAGUCUCUGCUGUGAUUUCCUUGAUUAGAACAGGUUGUGUGUGAUUGGUCCCUAAGUGAGGAUGACAAGAAGAAUCCAAUUAUUGCAAGUCCAUUCUGUGUUCAAGAACUUACAGGUUGAGUACUUUGUACAUGUGGAUGCUGAUCCUCUUGAUCAUGAAGGAAAUGAUUGUAAUGAGGUUGGGAAUUCUCCUCCUCAAUAAAAGCCUUGUAAACAGGGACAAGAAAAAAACCUGCAUGGUGACAACAGUUGAACCUCACUCUUGUGAUGGGCAAGUCUGGAUUCCCCUACCAGCAGAAGGAGUGUGAGGAAGGUCACAGUUGAUCAUUUUAGUGAGGAAAACACAUUGUUACAUAAUGUUACAUAAUGUUACAUCGGUAUUGUGCGAAUUAUUGCCAUGUGAAUCUGAUUCCCUCAUUUCAUUUUUGUAUUUAUUUCAUAUAUCCCUCUCAUACUUAGUAUGAUUGUUAUCAUAGGUUUUCUUGAAUUACUAUGUUCAUUAGUUUUUCCUUGCA